AUUGAACGCUGGCGGCAGGCUUAACACAUGCAAGUCGAGCGAGCGGCGGACGGGUGAGUAAUGUCUGGGAAACUGCCUGAUGGAGGGGGAUAACUACUGGAAACGGUAGCUAAUACCGCAUACCAUCAGAUGUGCGCAGAUGGGAUUAGCUAGUAGGUGGGGUAAUGGCUAACCUAGGAGACGAUCCCUAGCUGGUCUGAGAGGAUGACCAGCAACACUGGAACUGCGACACGGUCCAUACUCCUACGGGCGGCAGCAGUGGGGAAUAUUGCACAAUGGGCGCAAGCCUGAUGCAGCCAUGCCGCGUGUGUGAAGAAGGCCUUCGGGUUGUAAAGCACUUUCAGCGAGGAGGCGUUACUCGCAGAAGAAGCACCGGCUAACUCCGUGCCAGCAGCCGCGGUAAUUC
rnacentral:rRNA from 1 species